rnacentral:lncRNA from 1 species
GCUCGCGGGCCGCGACAGCUCAACGAUAAGCGAAAACAUGGUGCCGCCACGUGUCGAUGACUCAGCAAACCCUAGCCGCCUUUUCUGGACCUUGUGGGCCGCGUAGCCCUUAGCUACAUCUUACGCGGGCCGCGUAAAACUCGAAAUCAGAAACUAUAAAUAAGAGGCAUCGGCUGUCCAUUCCAAUUCGUUCAAAAUUCAAUUUCUCUCUCAAUUUCUGUAGUGUAGGCCCUAUACCCGGGCAUUAUACCCCCCCCCCUAAUUAGCGAAGCUCUGCCUCGUUGUAAGUAUCAUAACCCCUGGAUACGUAUUAGAUACUCUGCCCGAUUGAUCUAGGGUUCCGUAACGGCUGUCGUGGUUCUGCCCGACGUAGUCGUUGGAAUGCCGUCUCGGGGAGGAUUAUAACCUGGAAGUCACAAAGGAAAGCCCUAUAACAGCAAUGUAACUUAGUGUGAAGCCAAUAAAAGUCAGCUGGAGAGCACUGAAGGCUUAAAAAAGUGGCAAUAAAAGUUACCUAAUUAAAAAGGAGAAUUGUUUCCAAUAAUUAGGAUUAUUCCCUAUAAAUGUAUCAAAAUGAAAAAUCGGGUUUUGUCCCACUUAUAAAUAUAUUAUCAGAA